rnacentral:lncRNA from 1 species
UUUUUCUCUAGAAUAAAAGUCAAGAGCUUGAAUUAAUAACAUUAACACUCUAAAUAUUGAAACUGAAGAGCAGGUGACUAAGUUAAAUUUUGAAAAUCCAAACCUAUUGAGUCAAUUAGAGAAAAGAGAUGAUGCUUAUGAUAGUGAAAAGAAUAAUUAUCUAGAGAGAACUAUAGAAGAUCAAAAUCUUGAAUUGAUAGCUUUGACUAUCGAG